GACGUAGGGCGCGAGCGUUGUCCGGAUUUAUUGGGCGUAAAGAGCUCGUAGGCGGUUUGUCGCGUCUGCUGUGAAAAUCCGGGGCUCAACCCCGGACUUGCAGUGGGUACGGGCAGACUAGAGUGUGGUAGGGGAGACUGGAAUUCCUGGUGUAGCGGUGAAAUGCGCAGAUAUCAGGAGGAACACCGAUGGCGAAGGCAGGUCUCUGGGCCACUACUGACGCUGAGAAGCGAAAGCAUGGGGAGCGAACAGG
rnacentral:rRNA from 1 species